rnacentral:tRNA from 1 species
UAGCUUAGUUGGUAGAGCAUGGUGUUUGCAACGCCAGGGUUGUGGGUUCGAUUCCCAC